UAUGUCCUGUUGUAGUUGAUGAGGCGUUGUGCCACCCAUAUUUGGCGCCGCUGCACGAUAUAAACGAGGAACCGGUGUGUGUGAGGCCGUUCAAUUUCGAUUUUGAGCAACCUUCUUUGACAGAAGAGAACAUCAAGGAGCUUAUAUAUCGUGAAACAGUCAAGUUCAAUCCUCAGUAAGGGAGAGUUAUAAGAAAGAAACUCCAUCAAAAUGCUUGUAUUUGUCUUGCUUUGUUUUUGUUAUUGAAUCUCUGAUAAUAUUUGUUUAUGUCUGUAAUAUUAAUAACAUCCUGAGAAAUUAAAACCCAAAAAAAAUGAACAACCUCUGAGCUGUGUUUGCAGAAACAUCCAUAUGCUUUCGAGUUCAAUGUACAUUGUAUUAUUCGUUUGCUUUGUUCGUACAAAAGUAGAAGCCAGAAAAGUGGGGCUUAAACUCAACCCUAAUCAAAACUGUUGCUGCCUGCUGAUCUCUAGGUAAGCUCAAGUUACCUGAAUGAGGGUGAUAGAGCUGCAUCUAUCUCCUUUCACAGGUUUCUUGUGCUUUAGAAGCUGGUUGACAGAGCAUGUAGGAGGCUAACCAUUGAUUCUACUUGCUGCUCUGUUCAGGUUGUUCGUAGAGUGCAUUUAAAGUUUCAUUCAUUAAGAGGCUGAAGAGUCCAUCCUCGACCUGCACAGCCACCUCUUCACGCUCCUCCUUCAUCCGUUUCUCGUUCCAGUCCAGUCUUUCAAUUUCUCUAGCACAUGCUUGUCUCCUCUGCUCACCUGUUCCGCAUUCAAGCUCUGAUAUUCUCUGUCCACUUAACCAUCCUUUUGCCUCUCCCACCAGUUGCUCCUCAAAGUGUUGAUGAUGAGUUUCGUUUGUUCUCUGCAUCAAUUCAUCUCUGAAAUAGUCCAUUAUCAGAUGUUCUUCGUGGAUCCAAAUGUCAUCUCUUUCUUUGACUCGUUCCCAUAGCUCAGCUGCCUUCUCUUCAACCUCAUCAAUGUCAUCUUCAUCUUCUUCAAUCUCUGUGUCACAACUUUCAUCCUUGCAAGAUUCCUCACCCCAUUCUUCUAAAUUGAAAGGACUAAUGUUGGCCAAAUUCUCAAACCGUUGAAUCGUUUCCAUGAGCUUUUGUUUGGUUCCUGCCAAAAAAUAAUUACACACAGUGUGUUUUAAAACUUGAAAGUCCUAAAAUAACUAUAAGAAACGAACUUGCUUUGAUUGAAAUGAGGAAAAGUAAACGCACUUUCAACGUUAUCAAGGCAUUGACUGAAAGAAGAGUUUGAUGCUUCGUCAUCUUCCCCAAGUUGUAUCUCAAGAACGGAGACUGGACUGUUCUGCUCCUCUUCACACUGUAAGUCCUGGUCAUGAUCAUUGCAUAUUAGGCAAAAUCAUCCAACUAUUUGGCGGCGGCGGUGGUGAUCAGAGCACGAAAGGAUUGGCUACUCACGGUGGUCAGUACGUUCAGUACAAUGUCUACGGAAACAUCUUCGAAGUGACUAGAAAGUACGUUCCUCCUCUUCGCCCCAUCGGCAGAGGCGCUUACGGCAUCGUCUGGUCAGAGAUCUUCUUACUCUUCGAUCUGUGUGAUCUUCAUGGAUUUGAUUGAAUAAUUGAUUUUACUCUGUUUGGAUUAGGGUUUUGAUGGAGCUCACUUUUGAAAGUUAUUAUUAUUUUUUUUUUUUUAUCUCUGUGUUCAGUGCUGCUACAAACUCAGAGACGGGAGAGGAAGUAGCUAUCAAGAAGAUCGGUAACGCUUUUGACAACAUCAUCGACGCCAAGAGAACCUUGAGAGAGAUUAAGCUCCUCAAGCACAUGGAUCACGAGAAUGUAUAUAUAUCAUCUUUUGAAUCUCUUCUUGUUAUAGAUAGCUAUAUAUAUUGGUUUUCCAUCCUUUUUUUUUUUUUAAUGCGCAGGUUAUUGCUGUGAAGGAUAUAAUAAGACCACCCCUGAGAGAGAACUUCAACGAUGUUUACAUUGUUUAUGAGCUCAUGGACACUGAUCUCCACCAGAUUAUACGCUCUAACCAACCCUUAACUGAUGAUCAUUGUCGGGUAUGUAUCCAUCAUCAAUCACCAUGUGUCCCUUUUUAUGUUAGAAGAUGAAGACAUAUUAUUGCUUGUGCUUAUAAGGUAGAUUUAUUCACUUCGUUUGUUCACUUCAUUGUUUAUUUGACAGUUUCAUAACUAGUUUCCGUGUUGUAGUUAUUCAUAUAUGUUCUUGUGUUGGGGUAUAUGAGGAAGCUAAGGUUGGUCAAAGUAACAGUUCGAUUUGAAUUAGUAUUGCUUGAUACUUAUAAGGUAGAUUUAUCUACAACAGCCACUUUUAUGUUUGUUCACUUUCAUCUGAUUGUUUGCCUUUCAGGAACUAAGCUCCUUGUUUAUCUCAUUAGUUUUAUGUUUUGUUUGCAGUUCUUCUUGUAUCAGUUGUUGCGUGGGCUCAAGUACGUUCAUUCAGCCAAUGUGUUACACCGAGAUUUAAAGCCCAGCAAUUUGCUCCUGAACGCAAACUGUGAUCUAAAGCUUGGGGAUUUCGGGCUUGCGAGGACCAAAUCCGAGACUGACUUCAUGACUGAGUACGUUGUUACACGCUGGUACCGAGCUCCAGAGUUACUUCUUAACUGCUCCGAGUACACAGCAGCGAUCGAUAUCUGGUCCGUCGGUUGUAUUCUCGGUGAAACAAUGACAAGAGAGCCCUUGUUUCCGGGUAAAGAUUAUGUUCAUCAGCUUAGGCUUAUCACUGAGGUAAUCUUUACUUGUCUUAUCCAUAGAAUCACUUUUCUUUUGGUAUUAUCUGCAUUUGUUGAUGAAUCUCUGUGAAAGCACAGCUUAUAGGAUCACCUGAUGAUUCAAGCUUGGGGUUCUUAAGGAGCGACAACGCAAGGAGAUACGUUAAACAGCUUCCACAGUACCCGAGACAGAACUUUGCUGCUAGGUUCCCAAACAUGUCAGCUGGCGCAGCCGAUUUGCUUGAGAAAAUGCUCGUCUUUGAUCCAAGCAGACGCAUCACUGGUGAGUUUCGUAUAUCUCAGUUUUGUGAUUGCGUUUUAAUCUUCUAAACAUUGGUUUGUAUGUCCUGUUGUAGUUGAUGAGGCGUUGUGCCACCCAUAUUUGGCGCCGCUGCACGAUAUAAACGAGGAACCGGUGUGUGUGAGGCCGUUCAAUUUCGAUUUUGAGCAACCUUCUUUGACAGAAGAGAACAUCAAGGAGCUUAUAUAUCGUGAAACAGUCAAGUUCAAUCCUCAGUAAGGGAGAGUUAUAAGAAAGAAACUCCAUCAAAAUGCUUGUAUUUGUCUUGCUUUGUUUUUGUUAUUGAAUCUCUGAUAAUAUUUGUUUAUGUCUGUAAUAUUAAU
rnacentral:lncRNA from 1 species